UUACUGAUUUGUCCUCUCAUUUGUUUACAGCGGAGUUUAAAUGCCAGCCCGGAAGGUUCCAGUGUGGAACGGGUUUGUGUGCCCUCCCUCCCUUCAUCUGUGAUGGAGAGAACGACUGCGGAGACAACUCCGAUGAAGCCAACUGUGACUCGUAUAUCUGCCUGUCUGGCCAGUUUAAGUGCACUCACCGGCAAAAGUGCAUCCCUAUAAACCUGCGGUGUAACGGACAGGAUGACUGCGGAGACGGUGAAGAUGAAACCGAUUGCCCCGAGAACACUUGCUCGCCGUCCCAGUUUCAAUGCAAG